UACGUAGGGUGCAAGCGUUAAUCGGAAUUACUGGGCGUAAAGCGUGCGCAGGCGGUUUUGUAAGACUGUCGUGAAAUCCCCGGGCUCAACCUGGGAAUGGCGAUGGUGACUGCAAGGCUAGAGUUUGGCAGAGGGGGGUAGAAUUCCACGUGUAGCAGUGAAAUGCGUAGAUAUGUGGAGGAACACCGAUGGCGAAGGCAGCCCCCUGGGUCAAAACUGACGCUCAUGCACGAAAGCGUGGGGAG
rnacentral:rRNA from 1 species